UACAGAGGUCCCAAGCGUUGUUCGGAUUCACUGGGCGUAAAGGGUGCGUAGGCGGUCGGGUAAGUCUGACGUGAAAUCCCGCAGCUCAACUCCGAAAUGGCAUUGGAAACUACCCAGCUCGAGGGUUGGAGGGGGGACUGGAAUGCUUGGUGUAGCAGUGAAAUGCGUAGAUAUCAAGCGGAACACCAGUGGCGAAGGCGAGUCCCUGGACAACUCCUGACACUGAGGCACGAAAGCUAGGGGAGCAAACAGG
rnacentral:rRNA from 1 species